GUUAAUGUAGCUUAAUACUAAAGCAAAGCACUGAAAAUGCUUAGAUGAGCUCGAAGAGCUCCAUAAACA
rnacentral:tRNA from 1 species